rnacentral:tRNA from 11 species
CCGACCUUAGCUCAGUUGGUAGAGCGGAGGACUGUAGUUUGCUAACUGAAAUCCUUAGGUCACUGGUUCGAAUCCGGUAGGUCGGA